rnacentral:tRNA from 2 species
GGGCAAUUGGUCUAGUGGUACGAUUCUCCGUUCGGGUCGGAGAGGCCCCGGUUCAAACCCGGGAUUGCCCC